rnacentral:rRNA from 1 species
UACGUAGGGUGCGAGCGUUAAUCGGAAUUACUGGGCGUAAAGCGUGCGCAGGCGGUUGGCCAAGUCAGCUGUGAAAGCCCCGGGCUUAACCUGGGAAUGGCGGUUGAAACUAGUCGACUAGAAUCUGGCAGAGGGGGGUGGAAUUCCACGUGUAGCAGUGAAAUGCGUAGAGAUCCGGAGGAACACCGAAGGCGAAGGCAGUGUCCUGGCGCGUAACUGACGCUGAGGUGCGAAAGCCAGGGGAGCGAACGGG